CUUAAGCUGACGUUUAUAAUAAUAAUUGAUUCUAUUGCAAUGUAUAAAAGCUUAUAGAAUUUUAUAUUGCUUAACGGUUACGACGUUUCGCUUAUGAACCAAUUUUAGUGAUGUUUUUUUAUUUGGAGCAACAUGAUAGAUGUAAAAAAUCGAACUAAUAUUUAAAUAAAAAGAAAUGAACAAAAAUUUCUUCUGUUGGCACAUUUCUACUAUUAUUACAAACAAAAUAGUCAUAUUUUUAAACACUGUUAAUUAAUUGUUAUUAAAAAGAUAAAUUACAUGAAUCUAACGAAUUUUGCAUUUUAUUUAAAAAAAAAUGUUAAUAAAAUCAA